rnacentral:lncRNA from 1 species
GAAGAUCUAAACUUCAAACUUGCUUCACAAGAGGCAGAACUGCAACUGAAAAAUCAAGAUGCUGAAGCUUUGAUCGCUAAGAUAGGAUUUCAGACUGAGAAAGUGAGCCAAGAAAAGGCCAUUGUCAAAGCAGAGGAGCAAAAGCCAGAGAGAUUCACAGAGGAAGAUGCAUGUACCAUUGCCUUUUAAGACGGGAACACUCCCAGAAGAAGAAAUCAAACAGAGCAGGUUGCAGAAAAGUGAGCUUGUCCUACAUUUGAUUCGAGUGUCAACACACAGUUAAUCUUACAGAACUGAAAGCCUUCGCCAACACACCAGUAACUGCAACCAAUGGUGUACGAUGGAGUCGAGAUGUUGUGCAUCGGUCCAGGAGAAUACUAAAUUAGGAACAGCUAAAGAGAAUCUACAUGCAAUCAAGAAGAAGCUUACUUGGUUUUGGUGAGAAUACAUGAAACUGUUCCUAAGAAAUGGCUGAAUAUCCUGAAAGUCAUCUGGAUGUGUUACCCAAAUAGAUUAGUAAACCAAAAUGAGAGUUGGUACAAAUAAUUGGUUAUGAUUUUUACUACAUAUAUAUGCUGAGUGUUUAUAGGUAAGCUAUUGGACUAUCGGAAUAACUACUGCAAAGGACUGUGGCACCUCCAGCUCAUCUGUGCUCAUGCUUGUCAUUAAAGUAUCACCAGAUCUCCUCUGAUUUUUUUGAAAGGCCUCCAAACACAUACACAUGCGCACGUGCAUUACAAGUGGAAAAUUUGACUAUGCACUUUUACUGACAAAAAUCUUUUUUAUUAAAGACUGAACAGAAGAUUAUGUUUACCAGCAAGUACCCAUCGUACAUUUCUGAGGGAUUAUUUGUGGAUGCUUGUUAAUUAUUCAUUUAAUGGAGUAACUGCAACACAAAGCGCUCUUGAAACAAACAAAGACACCUUUGGUAUCUUGGGAGAUGGUGGGUGGAAAGAGUUCCUCUGCUGCGAGCUAAUUACUCUGACUUAUCAAACAUGACUUUAAAUGAUUCAAAAGAUGUGUCAUUAACUGAGUUUAGAAGGCAAUGACUCGGCUCUUUCUGUUGUGAGUAUUUAGACCUGGAAUCUCACAAUUGAAGUGAUCAAGCAAUAAAUGAAGGCUGCUUGAUUUCAUAAGGUGGGCAUUGUUCUCUCUCUUUUCUCU